GACGAACGCUGGCGGCGUGCUUAACACAUGCAAGUCGAACGGAAAGGCCCUGCUUUUGUGGGGUGCUCGAGUGGCGAACGGGUGAGUAACACGUGAGUAACCUGCCCUUGACUUUGGGAUAACUUCAGGAAACUGGGGCUAAUACCGGAUAGGAGCUCCUGCUGCAUGGUGGGGGUUGGAAAGUUUCGGCGGUUGGGGAUGGACUCGCGGCUUAUCAGCUUGUUGGUGGGGUAGUGGCUUACCAAGGCUUUGACGGGUAGCCGGCCUGAGAGGGUGACCGGCCAAAUUGGGACUGAGAUACGGCCCAGACUCCUACGGGAGGCAGCAGUGUGGAAUAUUGCACAAUGGGCGGAAGCCUGAUGCAGCAACGCCGCGUGCGGGAUGACGGCCUUCGGGUUGUAAACCGCUUUCGCCUGUGACGAAGCGUGAGUGACGGUAAUGGGUAAAGAGGCACCGGCUAACUACGUG
rnacentral:rRNA from 1 species